GUCACAUAGAUCUACAGUUUUAAUGUAAAGUAAAGUUCCCCUUUCAGACCUUGCGAUCUAUACUGCAGAUGAUGUAAAGAUCCUCUGUUUCUGUGGCCAGCACAACGACCAAACAGCUUUACUUGUGGCAACUAAUGCCGGGUACCUGGGUGGACUCAAAGAUACUGAAAUUUAAAUUCUCUGUCUUCACCAGGAUUUGAAGCUGGGACCCCAGUUUGGAAGCCAAGCAUUUUACUGCUCAGCCACAGGCCUCCUCAGUUUUAAUAGAUUUUGAAGUAGAAAUCUAGAUUUAGCUAGAGACGAAAAUGGCUGGAGGAAGCUUGACAUCAAUGUCUGUAAACCCAGUGGAACGGAUGACCAGCUGUGUAAAAGCAAUUCAGGAAGCUGUGAGUGACACAGAAGAGGGUACAGAACAACAGAUAAUGGCUGUGUCUGAGCUUCAAGACUGGGGAGAAGACCUUGACAUUGCUGGAGAUUUUAUAAAGAUCAAUGGAUUGUGUAUUGUUCCACACUAGACAAGCAGUGCACAGCAACGAUGGAUCCUCCCCCACAGAUUAACAUUACCAUUAAUAAUUUUCGGAAAGAUGUGGAAAAUGAAUUUAAAUUAGUUGAUGUGUACAGGAGCGUGAAUCCUACUGGUCGGGACACUACUUGGGAUUAGAUAGAAUUUAUGUUCCAGUUAAUACCUUAUAGGUAAAGUUGCUCAUCUGGAAGAAUCUCUGGAAUUUUUAGAUCACUAGGCAAUAAUGUUUGUGAUAAAUAAUAGAAGUAGAAGAAAGAAAAAGAAAAUUAGUCAUUGGAAAUUUAAUAAUUCUCUCAUAGAAAUCCCCCUGUUUGUAGAAUUAAUCUCAAAUACAUUAAAAUCUUGUUUACAAGAUAUAAACAUCCCAAACUUUAACACAAACAUGGACACUGGUAAAAUAUUCAAUAAAAAAGCAGUGUCAAUUAAUAUCAACACUUGUACAAACACAAGAAAAAACAAGAAAUAGAAAAACUUAAGCACACACUAUUACACAUUGACGAUAAAAUAGAUAGAACACAAGCACUAUUAAAGCUGGAAGAAUUAAACAAUUACAUCAAUAAAGAAGCUAUAGGAAUUAUAUAAGUCAGGAGGGUCCAAAUAAACUUUUCUUGUCAAUAGAACAAAAUGUUCAGUCAAGUAAAUCUAUAAAUAGUGUUCUUGAUAUACAUGGCACGAAAGUAAGAUGAAGAAAAAAUUUAAAAGGUUUUCACGAGUCACUUUACAAAUAUUAUCACAUGGAACCUGUAAAUAAGGAUGCUCAAGAAUAUUUUUUUUUUAAAUAUUGUAAACACUUAAACCAGACUGAUGAAGAUUUUUUGGGGACUCCUUUUAGUUUGGAGGAACUUAAAGCUGCACAUGACUCGACACAAAACAAUAAAUCUCCUGGACUGGAUGGAUUAACUUUUGAAUUUUAUAAGACAUUUUUUCCUUCUUUGGUAGGUCCACUAUUAUUACGACUGUAUACUGACGCUUUUAAAACAGGACAGUUUCCAGAAAAUUUUAACGAAGCAUAUAUUACACUAUUCCCAAAAAAAAACACAACUGAUAACACUUCCGCAAGUGAUUACAGACCCAUCUAACUGCUUAACACAGUGUAUAAACUACUGACAAAAAUGAUUUUUAUCCGACUAAAACCUUUCAUCUGUCACGUGUUUAUUAUGUUUAUUUGAUUUGAAGAUCUUGAUGAUAUAAACUUGUUACAUAUGCGGGUUCGGAGGUGCCUUGAUUAUAGUUCAAACCCUUUAAUAAUCAAUAAAGUAACAAAGUGCUGAUAUGUUUUUCUUGAGUUUUAAUUAUUUAAAACUUGAACUUGAAACAAUAAAUGUAUGUACAAAAAUAUA